rnacentral:rRNA from 1 species
UACAUGGGGUGCAAACGUUGCUCGGAAUUAUUGGGCGUAAAGCGCGCGUAGGCGGUUACUCAAGUCGGAUGUGAAAGCCCUCGGCUUAACUGAGGAAGUGCACCCGAAACUGAGUAGCUAGAGUACUAAAGAGGGUCGCGGAAUUCCCGGUGUAGAGGUGAAAUUCGUAGAUAUCAGGAGGAACACCUGUGGCGAAGGCGGCCAUCUGGAAGAUUACUGACGCUGAGACGCGAAAGCGUGGGGAGCAAACAGG